GUGGGGAUUGUUAUACAUCAAUAAUGAAUUAAUACGCAACUAUGCAAAUUAAUAAUCUAAUAGCAAAAAUGUCAUAUCAUAAACAAAUUGUGUUUGGAGUAUUAAUAGAUGUAGUCACACUUUUGUUGGGCAAUAUCGUCGAUGAGUUGAUAAACAACUCGUCCUGAAUAUUUACAUCAUCGCCAAAUACAGACAAUCCGUCUAUGCGUGUCCACUUCCCAAUAUUGCAAUAACACCCAAUAAUUGAGCCGGAAAUAAUUGAAUAACUGUUAAUAUUUGUAUUGUCAAAUAUCACGCAAUCCUUUAACCUUACUCCAUCUCCAAUUUUACAAUUUUUCCCGAUAACAACAUUAGGACCAAUACUACAAUCCUUUCCUAUUGAGGAUGUGGGAUGAACAAUCACAUUUCCUAUUAUUCUAAGUUCUGGUGUUUCGAAAGAUAAUUCGAGUUUAUUUUCAUUUAGGAGCUUUCUAAGCAAUUCUGUCUUAGAACUAUGCUUAUCAUUGCACAAAUGCCCUGUUAUUGAAUUUGAUUUAAGGAAUUCCAUAAAUAACUUACUUCCUAAUAAGAAGUCUUUUGGAUUUCCUAUAUCUGCCCAUAUAUUGUCAUUGUUUGUGAAGAACUUAUUGCAAUAAAGUGUAUUUGAUGAUGCCAUGAUAGGGAAUACAUCCUUUUCAAUUGAAACUUGUUGAUUAGGUUUAAUCAGAUCAAGUAUUCUUUUUGACAAAAUAUAAAUUCCUGCAUUAAUGAAAUCACCAACAAAAUCCUUAGGUUUUUCAAUAAAUUUUUCUACGAUGAGCGUAUUUUCAUCAUGCAAAACUACUCCAAAUUUUGAAGGAUCAGAGACUUGCUUUAUAAGAAUAACGCCAUUACAUUCCGAGUCAGAGUUUUUCUUGUGAUAAAGAUCAAGCAUUUCUCUUAAUGGAAAAUUACAUAUUAUAUCUGAAUUACAAACAAAAAAAGGUUCGUCUUCUUUUAGAAAGUCUUGUGCUAAUUUAAUUGGUCCUGCAGUACCCAAUGGCUUUUCCUCAAUACUCAAAUGAACUUUUACAGCAUAUCUAUCUUCAAUUAUUUUUAGUGUGGGAAUGAGUUCAUUGGCCUUGUAAUUAAGUGCUACAAUUAUUUCUGUUAUCCCAAUACUAGCAAAUUGUGCAAUCUGGAAUUCUAUGAUUGGGAUGUUACAUAGCUCAACAAUUGAUUUGGGUUUUGUAAGCGUUAAUGGACGGAGCCUAGAGCCAUAACCACCUGACAAAAUUAUUGCUUUCAUAACUUCCAGAAAAUAUCGACUUAUUUUAAACUGAAUCGAGUUCAGCGGCGAAAAAAUAUGGGGUUCAGUAGCAAUAAAAAAACGCAUUAACUAGGAGCAAAUUUAAAGGUAAAUAUUAAAUCAACAAAAAUUAAUAACUAAAUUACCUAGAAAAUGAUUCUUUAAUAAUGGAAAAUGCGUCAAUAGAACUGAAGGGGCAUGGCUUUUUAGAGUUUUCAACAAUACAUUGACUCUUAUUUUCUUCAAUUUUGAAUUCAGUUUUAGACAAUUUAUCACUUAGAUCAAAA
rnacentral:antisense_RNA from 1 species